UACGAAGGUCCCAAGCCGUUAUCCGGAUUUAUUGGGUUUAAAGGGUGCGUAGGCGGGCUAUUAAGUCAGUGGUGAAAUCCUGCAGCCUAACUGUAGAAUUGCCAUUGAUACUGAUGGUCUUGAGUACAUUUGAAGUGGGCGGAAUGUGUCAUGUAGCGGUGAAAUGCUUAGAUAUGACACAGAACACCGAUUGCGAAGGCAGCUCACUAAACUGUAACUGACGCUGAUGCACGAAAGCGCGGGGAGCAAACAGG
rnacentral:rRNA from 1 species